GACGAACGCUGGCGGCGUGCUUAACACAUGCAAGUCGAACGAAGAGCGAUGGAAGCUUGCUUCUAUCAAUCUUAGUGGCGAACGGGUGAGUAACGCGUAAUCAACCUGCCCUUCAGAGGGGGACAACAGUUGGAAACGACUUCUAAUACCGCAUACGAUCUAAUCUCGGCAUCGAGGAUAGAUGAAAGGUGGCCUCUACAUGUAAGCUAUCACUGAAGGAGGGGAUUGCGUCUGAUUAGCUAGUUGGAGGGGUAACGGCCCACCAAGGCGAUGAUCAGUAGCCGGUCUGAGAGGAUGAACGGCCACAAUGGGACUGAGACACGGCCCAGACUCCUACGGGAGGCAGCAGUGGGGAAACUUCCGCAAUGGACGAAAGUCUGACGGAGCAACGCCGCGUGAGUGAUGACGGCCUUCGGGUUGUAAAGCUCUGUUAAUCGGGACGAAAGGCCUUCUUGCGAACAGUUAGAAGGAUUGACGGUACCGGAAUAGAAAGCCACGGCUAACUACGUG
rnacentral:rRNA from 1 species